GAGGGGAGGGCUACAUUCCAGCUGCAAGCCCUCUCAUUCAAGGCUCGUGCAGCAGCCAGCAGUGUCCUUGGAGUCUAGUUCAAAGCUGCAGAGAGCCAACCACGGGGCUGGGAGCCGCUGGCGGAGGGGCUGGCCUGAAGGGGGUGAAGUGUUUCAGCCAGAAUGUACUGACGCACGACCAGGAAACCACAAGACUGAGUAAUCACCAGUUGCCAUGCAUUAAAUCACAUCAUCACGUGGCAGAUCCAGUUAAUAGCUGAGACCAGCAGGCUAACUGAACCAUGUCUUGAGAGCUGAAUGAUGGAGAAAUUGGACUAACCAUGGAGCACUUCAAAUUGAUUGCUUGGUAAUGGGAUAUUUUUCCUGGAAAGACAACAGAAUAAUUCUGAACUGUUGAUUCUGUCAUGGGUACAGGCUUCUAUGUACAGGAAAACAAAGGAAGUGUGAUGAAUUUUUCA